UCCAGGCAGCUCUCCACUAUCAUCGUCGGGCGGUGCCACCGACUUCCAAAUUGCAUCUCCAACAUCGUCAAUCAGGGGAGCAACAUCUGCAGCUGCUUCUCCAACAUCGUUCAUCGGGGGAGCACCAUCUCCAACAACUUCUCCAGCAUCGUUCAUCGGGGGAGCACCAUCUGCAGCAGCUAAUCCUGCAUCAUCCAUCGGGGGAGCACUGUCUCCAACUGCAUCUCCAACAUCGUACAUCGAAGCAGUAGCAUCUCCAGCACCUUCUCCAGCAUCGUUCAUCAGGGUAGCACCAUCUCCAACAACUUCUCCGCAUCGUUCAUCGGGGGAGCACCAUCGCCAGCAGCUUCACCAGCAUCAUUCAUCAGGGGAGCACCAUCUCCAACAGCUUCUCCUGCAUCGUUCAUCGGGGGAGCACCAUCUCCAGCAUCUUUCAUCGGAGGAGCACCGUCUCCAACAGCUUCUCCAAAUUCGUACAUCGGGGGAGCACCAUAUACAGCAGCUUAUCCAGCAUCGUUCAUCGGGGGAGCACCAUCUACAACAGUGUCUCCAGUAUCGUUCAGACGGUGAGCACCAUAUCCAGCAUCUUUCAUCGGAGGAGCAACGUCUCCAGCAGCUUCUCCAGCAUCGUUCAUCAGGAGCACCAUCUUCCAGCAGGUCUCUUCCAGGCAUCGUUCAUACAGAGAGAAGGGAGCACCAUCUCCAGCAGCU
rnacentral:lncRNA from 1 species